rnacentral:rRNA from 1 species
GGGAUAACACCGAGAAAUCGGUGCUAAUACCGGGUAAUAUCUGAGAUCACAUGAUCUUAGGUUAAAAGAUGGCUCCGGCUAUCACUACAGGAUGGGCCCGCGGCGCAUUAGCUAGUUGGGUAGGUAAUGGCUUACCAAGGCGACGAUGCGUAGCCCGACCUGAGAGGGUGAUCGGCCACACUGGGGACUGAGACACGGCCCAGACUCCUACGGGAGGCAGCAGUAGGGAAUCUUUCCGCAAUGGGACGAAAGUCUGACGGAGCAACGCCGCGUGAGUGAUGAAGGGUUUCGGCUCGUAAAGCUCUGUUGUUAGGGAAGAACAAGUAUCGUUCGAAUAGGCCGGUACCUUGACGGUACCUAACCAGAAAGCCACGGCUAACUACGUGCCAGCAGCCGCGGUAAUACGUAUGGCAAGCGUUGUCCGGAAUUAUUGGGCGUAAAGCGCGCGCAGGCGGUCUUUUAAGUCUGAUGUGAAAGCCCCCGGCUCAACCGGGGAGGGUCAUUGGAAACUGAGACUUGAGUACAGAGAGGAGAGUGGAUUCCACGUGUAGCGGUGAAAUGCGUAGAUAUGUGAGGAACACCAGUGGCGAGGCGACUCUCUGGUCUGUAACUGACGCUGAGGCGGCGAAAGCGUGGGGAGCAAACAGGAUUAGAUACCCUGGUAGUCCACGCCGUAAACGAUGAGUGCUAGGUGUUAGGGGUUUCGAUGCCCUUUAGUGCCGAAGUUAACACAUUAAGCACCUCCGCCUGGGGAGUACGACCGCAAGGUUGAAACUCAAAGGAAUUGACGGGGGCCCGCACAAGCAGUGGAGCAUGUGGAUUUAAUUCGAAGCCAACGCGAAGAACCUUACCAGGUCUUGACAUCCUUUGACCACUCUAGAGAUAGAGCUUUCCCCUUCGGGGGACAAAGUGACAGGUGGUGCAUGGUGUCGUCAGCUCGUGUCGUGAGAUGUUGGGUUAAGUCCCGCAACGAGCGCAACCCUUGAUCUUAGUUGCCAGCAUUUAGUUGGGCACUCUAAGGUGACUGCCGGUGACAAACCGGAGGAAGGUGGGGAUGACGUCAAAUCAUCAUGCCCCUUAUGACCUGGGCUACACACGUGCUACAAUGGAUGGUA